GGGCUGGUAGCUCAGCGGUAGAGCGUGGGACUGCAGUUUGCACUGUGACAUCUUAAGGUCGUGCGUUCAACUCGCACUCAGCCCU